UACGUAGGGUGCAAGCGUUGUCCGGAAUUAUUGGGCGUAAAGAGCUCGUAGGCGGCUCGUCGCGUCGACCGUGAAAACUUGGGGCUCAACCCCAAGCCUGCGGUCGAUACGGGCAGGCUCGAGUUCGGUAGGGGAGACUGGAAUUCCUGGUGUAGCGGUGAAAUGCGCAGAUAUCAGGAGGAACACCGGUGGCGAAGGCGGGGUCUCUGGGGUAUUUCUGACGCUGAGGCACGAAAGCCAGGGGAGCGAACGGG
rnacentral:rRNA from 1 species